AACUACCACUCCCAGAAUGCAAUUGCUUGGCUUUGUUGCCGGAAAACGUCCGUUCAGGAUGAACACACAUGAACUUCAAAGGGACGGAAAGGGAGUUGUGGAGAAGAACGAACCAGAGGAGAACAACAUUUGUUCACUCACACUGGGUCAGGUGGUCAAUGUUGUACGGUUCCACUGUAGCCUCCCGUUUUCUGCACGUGGAGUUGGAGCUGAACGUUCACCUUCGCCAGCUGUCGUUAAGUGAGCCCGUGCGCUACAAUCCACUGGAGUAUGCCUGAGAACUGCACGGCUGCUUCGUUUAGACAUUGGGGAAUGUGAGGCCCUCCUGUGCACCCUCUGACAUAGCACUGUGCCAAGCCGUGGCUGCCCUGGGCGUCACCAUGGGGAUUGGGUUUGGCAGAGCAGCGAGCACAGCAAGCCCUUUCGGCUGCGGGCAUGGAGGUACGAGUGACGGGCAGCAUGCACCCCUUUGCUGGGAGGCGGUGUCCAAGGCCAAGCUGGAGGAACAAGGCAUCCUAUCCCUACUGAGCACAUAACCUCUAGCCAAGCAGCCUCCAUGAACAAUGCAGUUUGCUGGCCUGGGGGUAGGAGUUGCCUUAGAUCAGCAUCUAGGGGCAAUGUUUGUUGGGAUCACUAUCCUCCACUGUACCUUAAGACUUGGACACACUCACAUUGUGUUUACAAAUUGUUCAAUGACUCAUCACUCUGCUGUAACAUUGCUGUCAGAUGGUGUUGUCCUGCCUCUCUGCUCUCCCAGGCCCUCUCACACAGCAGUUCCCGGUUGAGCAGCUUUUCCCCCAGAGCUCUCAUGUUUAUAGGCCAUGUGGAGGCAUACUGCAUCACAAUGACUCUCCUCCGAUCCUGUUAUAUCCAUUACUCCAUUACAGAGAAGAUAAAUGAUGUCUGUAUUUACCUCACUGUGGUUUGUACUGCCUCGCAGCAUGUAGACAGCUGCCCUGUCUCUGACCACUGACCUUUGUGAGGACAUUCUGUAGCAUAUUACCUUGAAGCAAUUACACCCAGAUCUGGCUAAGAAAUACCUCACUACAUAUUCCAGGUAAACGUAGUUUGUCAGUCACACCUCCUAAUGAGUUUUCUAUUCCCUCAGCCAGUCUCAAACAGCAGAGCUUGUUACCAAUAAUGACCCGCUAUUAUGAAGAGCCAUGACUUUAUGUUGCCUUCAUGAUGUAGCCCAGUGGGGCGGGACCCAUGCCCCUCCCCAAAAAAUUGAAAAAAUAUGCAGGGGUGUUCCCCAAUGAGGAAUGGGGGCCCGAGUGAAAACGUUUGGGAACCACUGAUAUAGCCUGAAGCUAAUGACAUCUUACUCUCAAUUUAAACCAGGGUCCUACUUGUGGUCAUUAUGGUAGUUGUUCUUGUUUCCCACUUGGUCUCAGCAGUGGUUUGCAAAAUGGGAGUGAAUGUAGACUAGUUUCAGUUUCUUUGUGGCCUUUGUAACAGCAUUGCAAUACCAAUGUUUCUCCUUUGUCCAAUUUAGUACAUGUUCAAGCCAACGAUUGACCUUUGCUGAUGCUGUAUGUAUGGGAAUGCCCUGUCCUUACCUUUGUUACAUCUUGGAAGGACUUCUGCAGUCUCUUCCUCUUUUGGCAUCCUACCAUUACUACUAAGAAAGUUCUGACUGUCAAUGUCCUACUGUAUACCCACACUAGUGCAUAGUACGUAUAAAGCCCUCUCUGUAACGUACGCCCCAUUAGGUCAUGUAUGAAUAAGAAUAAGCCCUUGUUGAUGACGUAAAGGGCACUCAAAUGUUCUUGCACCAUGUUGUUAUACCACUCAGGUUAAGCUUAAAAUGGAGGUUAAGCUUGUAAUGGAAAAGGGGCUCAAGUGUACAGUCCUCCUUGCAGGUUCCUCUCCAAUGAUGCUUCCUCCCUUACACACCAUUCUGAACAACUCAGACAAAAUGCCACAUAGCGGGUGAUCAAGUGUGUGUGUGUGAACCUAAAUCAGGUGGUCCCUUAAUAAGAAUGAUAUUUUUCUAUAUGCAUGGGAUUCAUCUUAUACUAUGGGGUUGUGAUGUACUUUAGUUUGUACUUGAAGUUAGUGUUUUGUUUUAAAGAUAUUUGUCUUGUCCUUGUUUUUUUAUAGAUGUACAUUUCUCAUUGCCUUGAGUUUUCUCUGGCAUUGUUAUAAUGAAUGUUUUUGUACAUGAACUAAUUUCCACUAUGUUGCAUUUAUUUUGUAAGGCAAUAAAUGGACUUUAUACUGCA